AGUGAACGCUGGCGGUAGGCCUAACACAUGCAAGUCGAACGGCAGCACAGUAAGAGCUUGCUCUUACGGGUGGCGAGUGGCGGACGGGUGAGGAAUACAUCGGAAUCUACUUUUUCGUGGGGGAUAACGUAGGGAAACUUACGCUAAUACCGCAUACGACCUACGGGUGAAAGCAGGGGACCUUCGGACCUUGCGCGAUUGAAUGAGCCGAUGUCGGAUUAGCUAGUUGGCGGGGUAAAGGCCCACCAAGGCGCCGAUCCGUAGCUGGUCUGAGAGGAUGAUCAGCCACCCUGGAACUGAGACACGGCCCAGACUCCUACGGGAGGCAGCAGUGGGGAAUAUUGGACAAGGGGCGCAAGCCUGAUCCAGCCAUACCGCGUGGGUGAAGAAGGCCUUCGGGCUGUAAAGCCCUUUUGUUGGGAAAGAAAAGCAGCAGGUUAAUACCCCGCUGUUCUGACGGUACCCAAAGAAUAAGCACCGGCUAACUUCGUG
rnacentral:rRNA from 1 species